CUGGCUCAGGAUGAACGCUGGCGGCGUGCUUAACACAUGCAAGUCGAACGAAGCCAAAAGGAAGCUUGCUUCUUGAAGCUUAGUGGCGGACGGGUGAGUAACGCGUGAGUAACCUGCCCUUAAGUGGGGAAUAACACAGAGAAAUCUGUGCUAAUACCGCAUAAUGUCGGAGAGCCGCAUGACUUUCCGACCAAAGGAUUUAUUCGCUUAAGGAUGGACUCGCGUCCGAUUAGCUAGUUGGUGAGGUAACGGCCCACCAAGGCGACGAUCGGUAGCCGAACUGAGAGGUUGAUCGGCCACAUUGGGACUGAGACACGGCCCAGACUCCUACGGGAGGCAGCAGUGGGGAAUAUUGGGCAAUGGGCGAAAGCCCUGACCCAGCAACGCCGCGUGAAGGAAGACGGUCUUCGGAUUGUAAACUUCUUUGAUUGGGGAAGAACAAAAUGACCUACCCAAAGAACAAGUCACGGCUAACUACGUGCCAGCCGCUGC
rnacentral:rRNA from 1 species